CCUACGGGAGGCAGCAGUGGGGAAUAUUGCACAAUGGGGGAAACCCUGAUGCAGCGACGCCGCGUGAGUGAAGAAGUCUUUCGGUAUGUAAAGCUCUGUCAGCAGGGAAGAAAAUGACGGUACCUGACCACGCCGCCCCGGCGAACCACGUGCCAGCAGCCGCGGGCAUACGUAGGGGGCACGCGUUAUCCGGAUUUACUGGGUGGAAAGGGAGCGUAGACGGGAGGGCAAGUCUGGAGUGAAAGGCGGGGGGUCAACCCCCGGACUGCUCUGGAAACUGCCAGGCUGGAGUGCAGGAGAGGUAAGUGGAAUGCCUAGUGUAGCGGUGAAAUGCGUAGAUAUUAGGAGGAACACCAGUGGCGAAGGCGGCUUACUGGACUGUAACUGACGUUGAGGCACGAAAGCGUGGGGAGCAAACAGGAUUAGAUACCCCUGUAGUC
rnacentral:rRNA from 1 species